GACCUUCCCGUGGCGCUGCCGUCCUGCGCCGGUCCCGAGAGCCGCGUGUGUUCCGAGCACACCGGGCUGGUCCCUGCGCUCGGAACGUUCCACGGCCCCGUUAACUGCUCCUGACCCGAGCGUUCACCGCACCGCGGGGUCCGCACCUCCCCGGGCAGCUGCUCCACGGCGCUGCCACCCUCAGGGCGGAGUUCGUCGAAUUGAGGUAAAACUUUUUAGUUUAUGGCCACUGCCACUGGGCACCACUGAAGAGUAUUUUACAGGAGACACUGAAAGGGAGCAGGUAGUCCCCAUAAGCAGAGGAAAUACCCGGUGUAAAUGUAUCAACAUUACAGAUGAAAGCAAGAAAAGUAGUAUUUGUAAAUGGAAAAAAAUAAAGAAAGUCUUUUGGCAAAGAUUAAAUGUAUGACUGGUGAGCAGAUGGGUAUCUUAAAUAACGACUUCUUUAAUCAAGAAGUAGAAUGUUUAAAGAGAAGAGUUGGACAAGCAGAAUGCAACAUAACCCAUGAAGAAAUAGUUAAAACAUCACUACAGAAGGUCUCCGAACUGGAGAAGGAGGUGAAUGCUAUCCUGGCUCUCCAGGAGGAAACCUCAUCAACAGUAGCUGUUCCUUAGGUGGGAUGCAGGUGCAGCCUCCCCCGUGGCUAUUGGUUGAUGUUUGAGAAUUUGUUUUGAGACUACAACGUAGUUCUUCUCAGUUUGAUUAAACAAAUUCAAAGGAGGGGAUGUUGACAACUUCUGCUUUGAUGCUGUCCUGUUGGAGACACACUGGAGUUUUUCUGCUGAAGGGCUGGACUUCUUUAUGACAAAAAAGUUUCUGACAGUGUACCUGCCUCUUUGAGUUACCUUGCAUCAUCCAUUUACCUAUUCCUAGCCCAUUGCCUAUGAGCCAUGAAAUGCAUUCAUUGAACUGUAACGAACUGCAAGUUGAAGACUAAUUUCUUAGACGGUGCAAAUGGCAAUCUGAAACAAUAAAUAAAAAUGUCGGUAACAUAGCUACUAGUACAAAAGCAUUUCUUAUGGUAGGUACUGAUGCAUUAGUACUAAAAUAAGACUGCAAAACAUCUUUUUUUUUGUGGGGACAUUGGUUGUUAGGGAGAACAGGAAUUCCUCAUGUCCUUAGACUGAUUGUAUUUUGUUGUGCUGAAAUCCUUGUAGCUAAUCUUACAGGAGACGUAGUUCUGUAAAUUGUCG